rnacentral:rRNA from 1 species
UACGGAGGGUGCGAGCGUUGUUCGGAAUCACUGGGCGUAAAGCGCGUGUAGGCGGCCCACUAAGUCUGAUGUGAAAGCCCGGGGCUCACCCCCGGAACUGCAUUGGAAACUGGCUGACUAGAGUGCGGUAGAGGGGUGUGGAAUUCCCGGUGUAGCAGUGAAAUGCGUAGAUAUCAGGAGGAACACCGGUGGCGAAGGCGGGUCUCUGGGCAGUAACUGACGCUGAGGAGCGAAAGCGUGGGGAGCGAACAGG